rnacentral:rRNA from 1 species
AUCCACGACAAAUCUUACCACUUCUUGCAUAUUAAAUAAAUACAAAAUAUUUUAUUUAAAUACAGGUGUUGCAUGGCUGUCUUUAGUUUGUGUUGUGAAAUGUAAGGUUAAUUCCGAUAACAAACGCAACCCUUAUCUUUAGUUUUAUUAUAAUUUAUAUUUACUAUAUAAAAUAAAUUAUAAGACUUAAAGAAAUAUCUUUCAAUAAGAAGGAGUAACGAGGAUGAAGACAAGUCCUCAUGACCCUAAUGAAGUGGGCUACAGACGUGCCACAAAGAUUUAUACAAUAGGAUGCAAAAACGAAAGUUAGAGCUAAUCCCUAAAAGGA